GAUGAACGCUGGCGGCGUGCUUAACACAUGCAAGUCGAACGGAAAGGCCCUUGCUUGCAGGGGUACUCGAGUGGCGAACGGGUGAGUAACACGUGGGUGAUCUGCCCUGCACUUCGGGAUAAGCCUGGGAAACUGGGUCUAAUACCGGAUAGGACCAUCGUUUAGUGUCGGUGGUGGAAAGUUUUUUCGGUGUGGGAUGAGCUCGCGGCCUAUCAGCUUGUUGGUGGUGUAAUGGCCUACCAAGGCGUCGACGGGUAGCCGGCCUGAGAGGGUGUACGGCCACAUUGGGACUGAGAUACGGCCCAGACUCCUACGGGAGGCAGCAGUGGGGAAUAUUGCACAAUGGGCGCAAGCCUGAUGCAGCGACGCCGCGUGGGGGAUGACGGCCUUCGGGUUGUAAACUCCUUUCGUCAGGGACGAAGCGAAAGUGACGGUACCUGGAUAAGAAGCACCGGCUAACUACGUG
rnacentral:rRNA from 1 species